rnacentral:rRNA from 1 species
AAGAACAACAGGGGAUUGCCCUAGUAACGGCGAGUGAAGCGGCAACAGCUCAAAUUUGAAAUCUGGCUCUUUCAGAGUCCGAGUUGUAAUUUGCAGAGGGCGCUUUGGCUUUGGCAGCGGUCCAAGUUCCUUGGAACAGGACGUCACAGAGGGUGAGAAUCCCGUACGUGGUCGCUAGCUAUUGCCGUGUAAAGCCCCUUCGACGAGUCGAGUUGUUUGGGAAUGCAGCUCUAAAUGGGAGGUAAAUUUCUUCUAAAGCUAAAUAUUGGCCAGAGACCGAUAGCGCACAAGUAGAGUGAUCGAAAGAUGAAAAGCACUUUGGAAAGAGAGUCAAACAGCACGUGAAAUUGUUGAAAGGGAAGCGCUUGCAGCCAGACUUGCUUGCAGUUGCUCAUCCGGGCUUUUGCCCGGUGCACUCUUCUGUAGGCAGGCCAGCAUCAGUUUGGGCGGUGGGAUAAAGGUCUCUGUCACGUACCUCUCUUCGGGGAGGCCUUAUAGGGGAGACGACAUACCACCAGCCUAGACUGAGGUCCGCGCAUCUGCUAGGAUGCUGGCGUAAUGGCUGUAAGCGGCCCGUCUUGAAACACGGACCAAGGAGUCUAACAUCUAUGCGAGUGUUUGGGUGUCAAGCCCGAGCGCGUAAUGAAAGUGAACGGAGGUGGGAACCCGCAAGGGUGCACCAUCGACCGAUCCUGAAGUUUACGGAAGGAUUUGAGUAAGAGCAUGGCUGUUGGGACCCGAAAGAUGGUGAACUAUGCUUGAAUAGGGUGAAGCCAGAGGAAACUCUGGUGGAGGCUCGCAGCGGUUCUGACGUGCAAAUCGAUCGUCAAAUUUGGGCAUAGGGGCGAAAGACUAAUCGAACUAUCUAGUAGCUGGUUCCUGCCGAGUUU